GAAGACUAUUUUCUUACAUAGAAAAAGAUUAAAAUACUGAAAAAAAGGCCAGUCAUGUCAUGUCGUCUUAUCCUUUGCAGUCAGGUUGACUACUGAAAUACACUGGAGCAAAGAAUUCAGAAGUUCUACCUUUCUUAUGCAUUGUCUU